CAGGGGGUAGUUUAAGAGAAAACUCUCUCUUUGGGGGAGAGAAACCUCAUCUGAGUCUCCUGU
rnacentral:tRNA from 1 species